ensembl:snoRNA SNORD73 Small nucleolar RNA SNORD73
AAUGAAUGAUGACCACAGUUUUGGUCCCAAAUGAUGUUUCAUGCUUAUACUCAUUUACUGACAUU